rnacentral:rRNA from 1 species
UUCCUACGGGGGGCAGCAGUGAGGAAUAUUGGUCAAUGGCCUAGAGGCUGAACCAGCCAAGUCGCGUGAGGGAUGACGGCCCUACGGGUUGUAAACCUCUUUUGUCGGGGAGCAAGACCCGCCACGAGUGGCGGAGCGAGAGUACCCGAAGAAAAAGCAUCGGCUAACUCCGUGCCAGCAGCCGCGGUAAUACGUAGGUGGCAAGCGUUAUCCGGAAUUAUUGGGCGUAAAGAGCGCGCAGGUGGUUAAUUAAGUCUGAUGUGAAAGCCCACGGCUUAACCGUGGAGGGUCAUUGGAAACUGGUU